UUCCUGGGCCGUUGUUUUAGAAUUGGU
rnacentral:piRNA from 1 species